rnacentral:lncRNA from 1 species
GUUCCACCUAUAAUCAGCGGGAAAAGACAGGUACCACCAAUGUGGUUCAACAAGUCAUUAGAUAGACCUGCCACAGAGGGAAAUAUUAGUUUCUGGUUUUAGUCAUCUUUCUGUUAACUGAAGAGGGAACCUAGAGACCCAACAUUGAUAAAGCAACUGACUUUUACCUAGAUAGAGUUAAAUCUGUCUUAUUGUAAGUGUCCAACUCUUCAUUUGCAUACACCUAAAUUUUCUGAUCUAGGUGUUGUGUUUCUAACAUCUAAUGGCAGCAGAAACAUAUUUCUGUGGCGUGAAGGAUAGUUUUCACUCAAGUGUUGAUAUUUUGUCAUGUUCUUUCUUUGAUGAUGAUAAUUUAGGCAUCUCCUGCAAAAUACAUUUCUGGCAGUGCUGGAAGGUAAACAGGCUGGCUCUCCAACUGAGACCGCAAAGGCAAGAGCUCAUAGCUUAGUCAGCUAGCUGGAUGAUUGGAAUAUUUGCUGAUCUGGGAAGAAAUUAGUGCACUGCUUCUGGCCUGAGAGACAUUGUGACUAGUAAGGAAAUGAAAGCCCUUUUGUGCCACUGCAACAUUUACAGCACUGUUUGUCUUCCACAUUUUAAUUUUUCACAGUGAUUAAAAUGAUCAAUUUUUCAAAAUAUUUUCCAACGGUAGCUGCAGAAGCCAAAAGUUAGAAAUACAGUUGUCCAUAGCUGAAUGCUGGUUGGUCCAUAGUUAGAGGAAGAAAGUGGCAUCCAUUUUCUUUCACUCUUAAAGUAAAAAUAUUAACAUUGUGUGACUGUCAUUGAAUGAAUUAACUCAGCAUUUAUAUUUUAUUCAGAAGCAUGGCAGAGA